AGUAAACAUGACGUCACGCAAACAUGGCCGCGGUGGUCGGAGCAGAGCUGUGCUCAGCAGUAAACAAUCACCCGAAGUGCUGGUUACGUUCUUUAAAGUGCGCCGCUUCGCUACGUGUCUUCCAUGUCACGACUCGUUUGCCGUGAGGACUUAUCGUGGGCUAAGUUGCCUCCUCUUAUGUCUUCUUUUUUUUUUUUUUUCCUCACUUGACCGCUGAACAAAAAACGCUGGGUGGAGGCUGCAUGAAGUUAAUACGUGGCCUGUCUGGUAUUGAAAUGAUGCGCCAUCGUUAUCUCAAAUUUGUUUGUAUUGUUUUCCCAUCUCAACCUGUGGUUUGGGGGGGGGCGGUCAUUAGCUUCUCAGGACCGGAUCCGUGCAGAAGUCAGGGUGCUGAUGAGGCUGUAACCGUGGCAACAAGCUGCUGUUGGUAAAUGAACCACUGGUGAGUUGUAACUCCUGCUUCCCCCCUGAUGUCCGGCAGCAGCCACGAUAAAUACACCCUGAGGCAAAUGGCCAGCCUUGUGGGCGGCAGGAGGCAGAAAUCGGCGAGCGAUGGAGAGCGGCGCCUCAUUGUGGACUCGUGCGGAGACGCCACCGCCGCCAGUGGGCAUCCCUCGGACUGGGGUGCGUCCACGCCGGGGAUCGUCUACAUGUUGGCCUUCUUCUCCGCCCUGGGGGGAUUUCUGUUCGGGUACGACACCGGCGUGGUGUCCGGGGCCAUGCUGCUGCUGAAGAAGGAGAUGAGCCUGAACGCGCUUUGGCAGGAGCUGCUGGUGUCCAGUACGGUCGGGGCCGCGGCAGUGUCCGCCCUGAGCGGUGGCUUCCUCAAUGGCUGGCUAGGGCGCCGGCCCUGCAUCCUCUUGUCCAGUUUCAUCUUCACCGUCGGCGGCCUCGUCUUGAGUCUUGCCCCGGACAGGGUGGUCCUUCUUGCGGGCAGAAUCGUAGUUGGCUUGGGCAUAGGCAUUGCCUCCAUGACAGUUCCUGUAUACAUCGCUGAGGUUUCCCCGCCCCACCUGAGAGGCCAGCUGGUCACUAUCAACGCCCUUUUCAUCACCGGUGGCCAGUUCAUCGCCAGUGUGGUUGACGGGGCUUUCAGCUACCUGAGCCGCGACGGCUGGAGGUACAUGUUGGGUCUGUCCGUUGUUCCAGCGGUGCUGCAGUUCGUCGGCUUCUUAUUCCUUCCGGAAAGCCCUCGUUGGCUUCUCCAGAAGGGCCGGAGCCAGGAGGCCCGCACAGUUCUCAGCCGAAUCAGAGGAGGCCAGACCGUUGACGAGGAGUACAACACCAUCAGAACCAGCAUUGAGGAGGAGGGGAAAGAGGCGGGCGGAGGAGGCCUUGUUAUUCUGCGGAUCCUCGGCCAUGGUCCGACUCGCAGGGCUCUCUUCGUCGGCUGCGGCCUCCAGAUGUUUCAGCAGUUGUCCGGGAUAAACACCGUCAUGUACUACAGCGCAACCAUUCUGCAGAUGGCGGGCGUGCGGGACGAUAGACAGGCGAUCUGGUUGGCUGCCGCAACGUCUGCCACCAACUUUGUGUUCACGCUGGUUGGCGUCUGGCUUGUAGAGCGAGUGGGCCGCAGGAAGCUGAUCCUGGGCAGCCUUUUAGGUACUGGUCUGAGUCUGAGUUUGCUGGCGGUUGGGUUCUGGCUAUCUGCCCACAACUCCCCGCCCAUCACCCUCCACCCGGCUGAUUCCCAAAACUCAACCUGCAGACAAUAUGGGUUCUGCGAAUUCUGCAUGUUGGAUCCCAACUGUGGAUUUUGUUAUCGUGAAAACGGAACCGGGGUGUACGACUCCUCCUGCGUUCCCACCAACCAGGCGUCCACUGAUCAUGCAGCGUGGGGAAGGUGUUCCAACCAGACUGAGGCAGAUGGCAGCCCAAUUUGGGCUUACAACUUCUGUCCUACGUCCUACUCCUGGGUCGUCCUGAUGGGUCUCAUUCUCUACCUUGCGUUCUUCGCGCCAGGUAUGGGCCCGAUGCCUUGGACAGUGAACUCUGAGAUCUACCCACUGUGGGCUCGCAGCACUGGAAACGCCUGCUCGGCCGGGGUCAACUGGAUCUUUAACGUGCUGGUGUCUCUGACCUUCCUCCAUGUCGCUCAGUUUCUGACCUAUUCUGGGGCCUUCUUCAUGUACACAGGCCUGGUGGUGUUGGGUCUCCUCUUUGUCCUGGGCUGCCUCCCCGAGACGCAGGGCCUGCAGCUGGAGGACAUCGAGGACCUGUUCACCGGUCCGCUCUGCUCCUGCGGGGCCUCCUCAUCUAGUGGCGAUCGCGACGUCCACUACAUCCGGAUUGGAAAGACUGCUCGUGUGGGGUGGAAAGGAAAUGGUAUUGCUCUCUGGUGGCUGCAAUCAAUAAGAAAAAAAUAAGUCUUGAACUCAAGUGGGUGAUAUCACUGGCACUUUCCCUUUCAUAAGUCUUCUGUUUGUUCUUUCUGUCUUUGUCAGGACUGCGAUUUUUUUCUUCUUCUUCUGUUGCACAUUCUCCUCAUUUCCCAUCGUCUCCUCUGUCAAACCAAGGCAAGGAUUGGGCUCAUUUGAAAAGUGUUGCUGAAAUAAUGAAUAUCUGAUUUGGAACACAGAGCUUUAAUGAAUUUGUUUGGAUGUGAGCGAACACACUCACGACCUAUCCAUUAUUUUUAUUUAAGACUGAAUGUCCUGAAGCACAGAGCGUAACGACCAAAAAUGUGGAACUGUCCAAAUACUUAAAGUCUGGAUUUGUUAAAAAAAAACAAAAAAAACAACGCAACUAAUGUGACAAUACUGAAACGGUUUAUGGGACAAAUUGAUCAUUUGUAGUUCAAGGGCAUGGACCUUGGGGAAUGAUUUGUUUUCCCACUAAGUAGCGUUUUAGAAACUUUCCCUUCAGUCACUUCAUAAAGUGUCCAGGUUGCCAAGUGGCCUCUUCCUCAGCCUUUCCGUCACGUCAAGAUGAUUGCAUGAUUUCAGUCAGGCCAUCCAUCUUUUGUGAAGCGCUCUCAAAAUUACUAAAUUAAAUGUACCAGCAAGAAUUUGUUUUGAAUGCCAGCCUUAAUAAUCUGCAGUUUUCGGAUCCAUCGAAUCUAAAACUAGAUUUGGAGUUAAUAGAUUUAAUGUGGAGAAGAGACUAUUUCAAACACUAUGCCCGAUUUCUGCCUGAUUUGGACACUGGUAUGUCUGUAAAUUCAAUUAUAUGGAACUCUUUCAAAAGACAUUUACUGAUAAAAAUUAUUGUGGUGGAUUUUAUCUUUACAUCUGUGCUGGUGUGACUGAAUCAGCUGAUUGUGGGUUGCUGCUUUUGUCUACACAGUGGGAGAAAUUGCACUUUAUAAACCAAAAGAGGUCCUUUUAUUUAUAUAUAAUGUGUAUAUAUAUAUAUAUAUAUAUAUAUAUAUAUAUAUAUAUCCGAUUGCAACAAUGAGUUGCUUAAAUCUUUGAUUUUCUAGCAAAGUCUGGAAAGCAGCUCAGCACAUUAUGGAGCUGUGGGGUCGGACAGUGCCAUAGCCUAUAUAACUCUCAGAUAAUGGGGACCAGAUUGCCCUGAACAGCAAUACAGAGUGCACAACAUGCCUGCAACAGGCACUUUGAUAUUUGUUAGUGUAUAAAAACGGUACAAGAUUUCUUAUUAAAGGAAUUUUUUUUUUUUUAAUGCAGUAUUGUAUUUAUUACAAUGCAAGCUAGAAAUUGCCCUCUCUGUACGACUCGUUUGUUAAAGACAAAUCUUCAUUUCGUUUUUAGCUAUAUCAGAUAUCUACAAACAUCUGAAAAUGUCUUGGACUGAAUCAUUAUGAGAUAUGUUUAAUGUAUAAAACAUUUACUAGACUAGA